CAAGUAUAUCAAAUUCCAGAGCAUGCGCUUUUUACAUAGCUCUAAAUAGCUGACUUCCUGUUGGGCGGAGCCUAUGACAUGCAAUAUGAAAGUUGUUUGGCUCAAUGAGAUCUACAUGUGUAAUGAGAUUCAUAUGAAUAUGUGCAAGUAUGUGUGAGCUAUACAUCAACAUUUCUGACUGUGUUCCAGGGGGCGCCGUAGAGCCCCUGUGCCACGCCCGGGUCCCAGCCUCUGCGGCCUCCUAAUGGCCACAGAUUCCAAGGUGUGUGCAAAUUUUCAAGAGUUUUUGAGCAUGUUAAGGGCCCCAAAAGCCCCCAAAACUUUGACGGAAAAUAAGAAUACAAAACCCUAAAUAACCAACUUCCUGUUGGGGCGGAGCCUAUGACAUGGAGUACGAAAGUUGUUUGGCUUGAUGAGAUCUAUAUGUGUACCGAGUUUCAUACGUCUACGUGCAAGUAUGUAUGAUAUAUGGCCCUCCAAAUUCCAGGGGGCGCUGUAGAGCCCCUGUGCCACGCCCGUGUAUCAGUCUCUGCCCGGCCCUAAUGGCCGCAGAUUCCAAGGUGUGUGCCAAUUUUCAAGAGUUUUUGAGCAUGUUAAGGGCCCCAAAAGCCCCCGAAACCUUGGAAAAAAAUUAGAAGAAUAAAGAAAAAAAAAAAAAAAAAAAAAAUAAUCCUAAGGAAAACAAUAGGGCUCUUCGCCCUCCAGGCUUGAGCCCUAAUAAUAAAAAAUAAUCCUAAGGAAAACAAUAGGGCUCUCGCCCUCCAGGCUUGAACCCUAAAUAUAGCUGCAAGCAGCGAUGGCGGGCUCAAGCCAUCAGCGCAAACGCCACCCCGGUGGCAUCAGGUAAACUGUGCCCAGCGGGCACAUGCAUUUACAGUAACCCUCUGGCAGUCAGGUUUUAAGGGAUACGGCAAUUAACGGGUUAAUCCGAAGCAUCAAGACUUUGAAAUCACAUACACAGAACAAUAUUCAUUAAGAAAGUGAAAUUAAAUGAUUAAUAAACUAUUUAUUCGAACCCUCGCUAUUUUCUAUUCUAAUAAAAGUUUUGGCUGUGGAACAUCUGUAAUAGAGUUGGCUAGCUGGAUGCAAAUAAAGUCAUGCCUUUUAUUUUUUCCCCUGUUUGCUAUUUCACAUUCCUGUCACUGAAGCGUUGUGGGCAAAGACACAGAAGGC
ensembl:lncRNA